GACGAACCGUGCGAACGUUAUUCGGAAUCACUGGGCUUAAAGCGCGUGUAGGCGGUCCGGCACGUCGGUCGUUGAAAGCCCCCGGCUCAACCGGGGAAGCGGCGCCGAUACGACCGGGCUGGAGGGGGGUAGGGGGCGCUGGAACUUCCGGUGGAGCGGUGAAAUGCGUAGAUAUCGUUUGGAACGCCAAUGGUGAAAACAGGUUGCUGGGGGUGUGCUGACGCUGAGACACGAAAGCCAGGGGAGCGAACGGG
rnacentral:rRNA from 1 species